rnacentral:lncRNA from 10 species
GAGAAAAUGCAAGGGAGUCUGGGUCAAUUAAUUGCCUACCAGAGCACUGCCCUAUGUAUUUCAAGCAGGGAAAACGGAAGAGGGCUGACUGGUUUACUCUCAUGUAUUUCCUAUUCUGUCUGGUUGGCUUGCUGCUUAAAAAUCAGAAUACAGAAGAGAAGACAGUCUUGUGGAGGGUCAAAGGAGCCACUGUUUGUAGUUAUUUGGGAUCUUUGAGGAAACCCCUGCUAAAAUAACUUGAUUGGAGAUUUUCCUUAGUCUGGACCAAACCUUCCCAUUAUUGGACACAGAUGGUCAGCUAGUAAUCAAUCAUCUAUAAUUAUGCUUUGGAAAAACCUCAUGAGCAAAGACCCUCGACUUGUAGUCAAAGCUACAAUUUAUGUCAAGCAGCUCCAUUAGAUGUCUCAUUUCCCAGCCAUCAGGAGGAGGAAAGAGGGAAUGAAGAACAAGCUUCUUCCUGUGGGUGUGACCCAGAGGUUGUUCGUGUCACUUCUAUUCACAUUUGCUUGUGUAGAACUUACACAAUCAUACUUAACUUCAAGAAAGAUUGGGCAACAUAGUUUAUAGCGGGGAGGAUUUAUGCCCUGAAAUUGAUGGUGUCAUCUUUUCAUCUUCCCUCUCUCACCAUUAGCAUGUAAUCUGUAACUGAAUUUGAACAAUCCAACUUCCAAAUGAUUUCCAUUUUUCUCCAUAUUCCUAACAACACUUUAGUCUAAAGCGUCCUCAUCCUUGCCUAGUUUACUACAAUAACCUAAUUGGUCAGCGUGCUUCCAUUCUUGCCCCACCAAGUCAUUUCUGACACCGUGGCCGCUAAUUCUUAAGAAUAGAAACCAAAUCAUCACUCUUCUUUAAGGCCUUUAGUGUCUAUUUCCAUAGAAUAAAAUCCAUACCCUGCACCAUGAGCCGUAAGACCUGGCAAUGACCUGGCUCUAGUGUACCCAGUGCUAUCCUUGCACCAUGCUUUCCACCAGUCACUAUGUUCUGGCUUCUCUGGCCUCCACCUUUUUCUAGAACACAUUGAUCCUUUCCCCACCUCAGGCCCUUAUCCCUGCUAUUCUUCAUCCUGUAAAACUUUUGCUGGGAUCUCCGCGUGGCUGGCUCGCCCUCAUCUCUUGGCACUCAGCACAAAUGUCAUCUAUUUUGAGAAUCUUUCCUGACUGCCCUUUGUAAAGCAGCAUGUCUUGUUCCCAGUGACUCUUUAUUGCAUUACUUUAUUUAUUUUCUUCAUAGCAUUUAUUAAAUUAUAUAAUAAUCCUGUUUAUUUGAUUAUUUAAUUUUCUCCUUUCAUUAGAAAAUAAUCCUUAGGAGGGCAGUUUCUUUGGCUUAUCCUGAUUCUCAGACUCUGGCACAUAAAAGGAACUCAACAGAUUGCUAUUGAAUGAGUGAUUAAAUGAGUUAGGUACACUUUAUAUAUUUCUUACAAUAAGAAUCUGGUGCCCACUGUGGGAAAACCAGGUAAAAGGAACCUUACACAGAUUUGCCUCCACUAGCUUUACUU